rnacentral:rRNA from 1 species
GAUGAACGCUAGCUACAGGCUUAACACAUGCAAGUCGAGGGGAAACGGCAUUGAGUGCUUGCACUCUUUGGACGUCGACCGGCGCACGGGUGAGUAACGCGUAUUCAACCUUCCCAUUACUGUGGGAUAACCUGCCGAAAGGCAGACUAAUACCGCAUAGUCUUCGAUGACGGCAUCAGAUUUGAAGUAAAGAUUUAUCGGUAAUGGAUGGGGAUGCGUCUGAUUAGCUUGUUGGCAGGGUAACGGCCCACCAAGGCGACGAUCAGUAGGGGUUCUGAGAGGAAGGUCCCCCACAUUGGAACUGAGACACGGUCCAAACUGCUACGGGAGGCAGCAGUGAGGAAGAUUGGUCAAUGGACGGAAGUCUGAACCAGCCAAGUAGCGUGCAGGAUGACGGCCCUAUGGGUUGUAAACUGCUUUUGUAUGGGGAUAAAGUUAGGGACGUGUCCCUAUUUGCAGGUACCAUACGAAUAAGGACCGGCUAAUUCCGUG